UGAGUAACCUGCCCCUUAACUCUGGGAUAAGCCUGGGGAAACUGGGUCUAAUACCGGAUAUGACUCCUCAUCGCAUGGUGGGGGGUGGAAAGCUUUUUUGUGGUUUUGGAUGGACUCGCGGCCUAUCAGCUUGUUGGUGAGGUAAUGGCUCACAAGGCGACGACGGGUAGCCGGCCUGAGAGGGUGACCGGCCACACGUGGGACUGAGACACGGCCCAGACUCCGUACGGGAGGCAG
rnacentral:rRNA from 1 species